UACGUAGGGGGCAAGCGUUGUCCGGAAUCAUUGGGCGUAAAGAGCGUGUAGGCGGCUUGGUAAGUCCGCUGUGAAAGUCCAGGGCUCAACCCUGGAAUGCCGGUGGAAACUGUCAAGCUUGAGUCCGGAAGAGGCGAGUGGAAUUCCUGGUGUAGCGGUGAAAUGCGCAGAUAUCAGGAGGAACACCAAUGGCGAAGGCAGCUCGCUGGGACGGUACUGACGCUGAGGAGCGAAAGCGUGGGGAGCGAACAGG
rnacentral:rRNA from 1 species